rnacentral:rRNA from 1 species
GACGAACCGUGCGAACGUUGUUCGGAAUCACUGGGCUUAAAGGGCGCGUAGGCGGCAAAUCAAGUCCGGGGGUGAAAGCCCUCAGCUCAACUGGGGAAGUGCCUCGGAUACUGGCUUGCUGGAGGGGAGGUAGGGGUCGAGGGAACUUCUGGUGGAGCGGUGAAAUGCGUUGAUAUCAGAAGGAACGCCGGUGGCGAAAGCGCUCGACUGGACCUUUUCUGACGCUGAGGCGCGAAAGCGUGGGGAGCGAACAGGG